UACGUAGGGGGCAAGCGUUGUCCGGAAUCAUUGGGCGUAAAGAGCUCGUAGGCGGUUUGUCGCGUCUGCUGUGAAAACUCGGGGCUUAACUCCGGGCCUGCAGUGGGUACGGGCAGACUAGAGUGCGGUAGGGGAGACUGGAAUUCCUGGUGUAGCGGUGAAAUGCGCAGAUAUCAGGAGGAACACCGGUGGCGAAGGCGGGGUCUCUGGGCCGUAACUGACGCUGAGGAGCGAAAGCGUGGGGAGCGAACAGG
rnacentral:rRNA from 1 species